rnacentral:rRNA from 3 species
GAUAGCGAAGAGGUCACACCCGUUCCCAUACCGAACACGGAAGUUAAGCUCUUCAGCGCCGAUGGUAGUCGGGGGUUUCCCCCUGUGAGAGUAGGACGCCGCCAAGC